UACGAAGGGGGCUAGCGUUGUUCGGAAUUACUGGGCGUAAAGCGCACGCAGGCGGAUUUGUAAGUCAGGGGUGAAAUCCCGGAGCUCAACCUCGGAAUUGCCUUUGAUACUGCGAGGCUUGAGCACGUAAGAGGUGAGUGGAAUUCCCAGUGUAGAGGUGAAAUUCGUAGAUAUUAGGAAGAACACCGGUGGCGAAGGCGGCUCACUGGCCCGUUUCUGACGCUCAGGCACGAAAGCGUGGGGAGCAAACAGG
rnacentral:rRNA from 1 species